GAUGAAGAACGCAGCGAAAUGCGAUACGUAAUGUGAAUUGCAGAAUUCAGUGAAUCAUCGAAUCUUUGAACGCAUAUUGCGCUCGCUGGUAUUCCGGAGAGCAUGCUUGUUUGAGUAUCAGUAAACACCUCAACUUCCAUAUCUUUUUUGAAAUGGGAGUUGGACUUGAGUGAUCCCAACGCUUUUCCUCACCGAAAAGUGGCGGGUUACUUGAAAUGCAGGUGCAGCUGGACUUUUCUCUGAGCUAUAAGCAUAUCUAUUUAGUCUGCCUAAAAAACAGAUUAUUACCUUUGCUGCAGCUAACAUAAAGGAGAUUAGUUCUUGUGCUGACUGAUGCAGGAUUCACAAAGACAGGCUUCGGCCGACUUUGUAAACUCGAUCUCAAAUCAAGUAAGACUACCCGCUGAACUUAAGCAUAUCAAUAAGCGGAGGA
rnacentral:misc_RNA from 1 species